rnacentral:rRNA from 1 species
CGCGUAGGUGGUUGGGGAAGCGUGUGGUGAAAGCCCGGGGCUCAACCCCGGGUCGGCCAUGCGAACUGCCCGACUGGAGCACGGUAGAGGCCAAUGGAAUUCCGGGUGUAGCGGUGGAAUGCGUAGAGAUCCGGAAGAACACCGGUGGCGAAGGCGGUUGGCUGGGCCGUGGCUGACACUGAGGCGCGACAGCGUGGGGAGCAAACAGGAUUAGAUACCCUGGUAGUCCACGCCGUAAACGAUGGGCACUAGGUCCUUGGGGGAGCGACCCCGUGAGGGCCGGCGCUAACGCAUUAAGUGCCCCGCCUGGGGAGUACGGCCGCAAGGCUGAA